rnacentral:rRNA from 1 species
GACGAACGCUGGCGGCGUGCUUAACACAUGCAAGUCGAACGGAAAGGCCCUGCUUUUGUGGGGUGCUCGAGUGGCGAACGGGUGAGUAACCCGUGAGUAACCUUCCCUUUACUUUGGGAUAACUUCAGGAAACUGGGGCUAAUACCGGAUAGGAGCUCCUGCUGCAUGGUGGGGGUUGGAAAGUUUGGGCGGGUGGGGAUGGACUCGCGGCUCAUCAGCUUGUUGGUGGGGUAGUGGCUUACCAAGGUUUUGACGGGUAGCCGACCUGGGAGGGUGACCGGCCACAAUGGGACUGAGGGACGGCCCAGACGCGUACGGGAGGCAGCAGGGGGGAAUAUUGCACAAUGGGCGGAAGCCUGAUGCAGCAACGCCGCGUGCGGGAUGACGGCUUUCGGGUUGUAAACCGCUGUGGCCUGAGACGAAGAGAGAGUGACGGUAAUGGGUAAAGAAGCACCGGCUAACUACGUG